UUGAUCCUGGCUCAGGAUGAACGCUAGCGGCAGGCCUAAUACAUGCAAGUCGAACGGGUGGUAGCAAUACCACUAGUGGCGCACGGGUGCGUAACGCGUAACCAACCUGCCCUUGACUGGGGGAUAGCCCGCCGAAAGGCGGAUUAAUACUGCAUAAACCAACAGGACGGCAUCGUUCAAUUGGUAAAGAUUUAUUGGUCAAGGAUGGGGUUGCGUAGCAUUAGCUAGUUGGCGGGGUAACGGCCCACCAAGGCGACGAUGCUUAGGGGACCUGAGAGGGUGAUCCCCCACACUGGCACUGAGAUACGGGCCAGACUCCUACGGGAGGCAGCAGUAGGGAAUAUUGGGCAAUGGGCGAGAGCCUGACCCAGCCAUGCCGCGUGCCGGAUGAAGGCCUUCUGGGUUGUAAACGGCUUUUCUCA
rnacentral:rRNA from 1 species